GCCUACAGGUCAUCCUCAUUUUGAAGAAUCUCCGCUGCAAUAGGUUACAAGGUUUUAUAUAGCGCAAGGCGCACCAUCAUAGGGUCUAAAUUCUAGAACCAGGAGGCUCAGAACCAAACCACACUGUGUAUGAGUUCACCGAGAAAUGAUGAAGAUGAGGAUGAGGAUGAGAGUGAAGGUGGUGGUGAUUUGGUGGUGAGGAGGAGAAGGAGGUCGGAUCUUGAAGGCGAUGAUCUAGCGGAGAUGUCUGCAACGAGAAGAUGACAGUCGCGGAUUUUGAGCAAGUGGGUUGCUUGACAAGCACAGAAGAUGAUCACCACGAGAGAGCUGAGGACUCGGGAGAAUGAGUUGAUGGUGCUUCAUUCAAGUCGCGGAUUUUGAGCAGCUAUUAAUCAUCUGAAAGCGGUUCAAGAUACUCCUGAGCUUCGUUCCGCCAUUGAAGAGAUUCAGGACAUAUUAACUUGAAGUUUUGACCUGGUGAUCUAAUUCGAAUUCGUGUGCAGCCUGAGAGAAUCACAUUUGGCCUAAAGGUUGAUCAAAGUAAACCAAUUUAUAAUGCUUUCAAGGUUAUGAAGGAUUCACCAAACUGGGCAACACUAAGUGAUGCUCGUAAACGAAUAGUUGAAUGUAAGCAUCAUCAAUAGAUGGGUUGCCAGCUACCGCUCUUGGAUUGGCCGCACAAAUAGCCACAUCAAAGGGUCAUGAAAAUGCCACUGCCGAAAAUGGGCCAUGGAUGAUAACAU
rnacentral:lncRNA from 1 species